rnacentral:tRNA from 1 species
GCCCCGGUGGCGGAAUGUGGUAGACGCCGCUGCCUCAAAAGCAGCUUCAUUGCCGGUUCGAAUCCGGCCUGGGGCACCA